CCUCUUCUUCUUAGCAGGGGUUGGGCAAGUGGUCCUAGUCCCUGUAAUGUAUGGAGGCUGAGGGAGAGGGCUCCGGCCCCCUCAACAUCAUGUCUUUGGUGCGGACAGUUUCCAGUCCGCUGGUUCUAUCUUUAAACGCUGGACAUGG